GGGAAAAAUCACAGUAGCCUAUUAAACUAUGCUCCAUCUCAGCCAUAUCCGGCGAAGGUUUCAAUUUCUCCGGCGAGAUUGAAGUUCCUGAAUCAAAGCAUUUGCAUCAUUAUAAGAUGAUCCUCCUUCUUCAACAACUCUCUUGGCUUUCUCUCCGAGAUCUUUAGCUCUGCUUCUCAUCUCUGCUGCCUCUUCAUCACCACCCAUUAGCCUUUUCACUGCUGUCUCCACGUUGUCUCUCUUCACCGCUGCCGAUGGCUCACUGCUCCAUGACAACCACUCCAUGCUCCCCACCUUCACUCCAAUCUUCAACACAUCCGUGAUCAACUUCUCAUUGGUAAAUUGCUCUGCUGUAAUUGGCCAUGUUAUCAUUGGUACCCCAGCACUCACACCUUCCAAAGUCGAGUUCCAUCCACAAUGAGUCAUAAAUCCUCCUACAGCGAUGUGCUCUAAUAUUAACAACUGCGGUGCCCAACCUUUUAUGAUCAAUCCCUUCUGGGAUUCUUUAAUUCUAUCUUCAAAUCCAUUGGGAAGCCAAUUUUUUUGGCUUCCUUGUUCUUUCUCAGUGGAUUGGAAGAUUUUUCCUAUCACCCAAAUGAAUGGGUGAUUGGAAGCUUCAAGACCAUGGGCAAUCUCAAGGAGUUGUUCAGGAGCUAAACGAGCUAAGCUCCCAAAACUAAUGUAAAGAACCGAAUUGGGUUCUUUACUGUUAAGCCAAUUCAGUAUGCUUUGCUCAUCAAUAGCGGUCUUUUGCCCUCUUUCAGCUUUAUCUUCCACGUUUCUGUUACACAAUGAUACUGGUCCUACUAGCCAUGCCUUGUUCCCCAAUUCCUUUUGGAAGUAUUCCACAUAAGCUGGCUCCAAUUCAUAGAAACUAUUAACUGCAACUCCAAAGCUGUUCUCAUCAGGUUUUGUCAUCCUUCUGGGAAGCCCACCCUGUCUGGCAAAGAAUGGUAGUUGAGAUCUAGUCAAUUCAAUCCUAUCAGGAAGACCUGGGACAACAAAAGGCUCCAGAUCAGAACCUACCUUCUCAUGGGGCUUAUAACGUGCCAUAUUUUCUUGGACACAGCGAGGGAAGCAUCCAUUUCCACUGAAAGUAAUUCUUAGAAUACCAAUUCUAUCAAUGGCUUCAGCGGACCACCGGUGAAACACAUCAUGAAUAAUACAGUCUGGUUUGCGUUCAAGCAAAAGAUUCAGGAGAGGUUCUUGGAGUAUAGAAGUGUCAGUGAAGGGAGCUGCAGACAUGUCUGUAUCAGCUAUAUCAACACCAUCUGGUAACUUGAGGAUGUGAAUAGAGAUUGGAAGACUGGAGUUCUGGUCACGGACAAUAGAUUUUUGGAAGGAAAGAGCAUGCUUUGGGGUGGCUAUGAUGGUUGCUCUGACACCAUGGGAGGCAAAGAUUCUAGCCAUGUCUAUCAUGGGGAUCUGGUGGCCUCCGCCUACAAAUGGGAAGAAGAAGAUUUCAACUGGAGGAGAGUUUGAGUCCAUGGAUGGAUGCAGUAAAAGAGUAAGAUCGAUCAAGAGGUGAUAUGGUGAAGACUGAAGAGAGAACGAGGAGCUUAAGCUAGAUGGUGGUCAUUGAUCCAAAU
rnacentral:misc_RNA from 1 species